AUUAGCGCUGCUUCUCCGAGAUGAAUUUAUGUGAUUAUGAUCUUCAGGCUUUGCCUAACCAGGUGGGCUUACUUUCCAAAUGUAUAAAGUAUGAUUGAGUUAUUAAGCUCUAAAUGUUUCAUUUAAAUGCCAAUUAUUUAUUUAAUGAAAUGAAAACUGUUUAUCCAAUAAAAUGUUUAUGUGCACUCUGCUCUGUUUAAGGCUCGCAAAGUUAAUCAAUUGAGGUUCUCUUAUGACCUAACACGUUGUUUGAGAAUUGUGUACACUCGUUAGCUGACCUGGUGGGUUGAUCUCCAUCGGGCACUAACUAAGAGGCGUUAUAAGGGUGCUUGCUGGAUGUGUUCCGAAGCAUGUAAUGUAAGGCCUGCCUGGGUAGCGUCCCGAGGUCAAUUCAACUUGUCUGAGUUACGUCCUCAGGGCAAGUGCAAUGGGAGAAAUGGAUCCGUCGGUGGCUAAAAGGUCCGGGAUCACAGCGAGUAACGGAAAGGGAGUGUGACAUGUGCGCACAAAUGAAAGAAAUUAUUUUAACAUGCUUAGAAGUUAUUUCAAUUUAAAACCUUCUAAGUUAUGUCAAGUAUAAUUGGAUAAACUGUCUUUACGAAAAUAUGAAAUGUUUCAGAAAAUGCAUGCCCACUGAGUACAUUAGUACUUAGCCCAAAAAUACUUUUAAAUGUUUUCAGGUUGACUGGCUGGUGCUGACGGGACUGAGCUGAGGCUAGGGUUCAAUUCCUAUUUUAGACUUCCGCUGUAGCAACCACUCAUAUCCGUAUUUUAUUUUCUCAACUUAAGAUCUUCAUGUUAAAUUUCAAAUGAUAUACCUGACCGAGCUUAGACUCUUCAUUACUAAAUUUAUGCUAAUGAAUGUUGGUUGUCAGAAGCAUGAAACAAAACUUGUGAUCUAAAGGGGCCUAGCCCGACUCGUUAUCUUAUUAUUCGAGUUUUAACAAGGUUGUUCCUUGUUUAUUUCUAUGAAUUAUUCACACCUCGAUUAUAUUUAUUCUUUUAAGAAUUGGGGUGUGACAUUAACAAGAAGUCCCCAGUUUGUAAACUGAGUAUGAACAUUCUUCCUUGCUGGGUUUGACAUGAAGUUUCUCAUUUAUGCUCUUUGAGUAUGAUAGGAUUCACUAAUUUGUGGCUUGGUUUGUUAUAUGUAAGCUGAAGGGAAGUUAAAAAUUGGGAUAAGUGACCACCGUCAGAAUACAGUUCCGAGUCCAAAUGUCAUGAUGAUAUAGUAAAAUGGAAGACCAUAUACAUACAUAUGUACAUGCAUACACAUACAUACAUAUGUGACUGGUUUUAUUUUUGUUUUUUUGGUUAAAGAAUGAUUGGUUUUUGUUAUAAUACUUCAAUUUCAGUGUCAGUUGUAAUAGGUAAGGAAUACACUUGAGGAUUGAGGUUUAUUUUUACAUGGGGAAUGAGACUGGUUUUUUAAAGAUGACUGUAGAAGAGAUCUUCAACCGUGUGAAAAAGAAUCUUAAUUGAUUAAAUGCACAGCACCUUGCUAGGACUUUCUGUUGCCCCCAUCAUCAGUGAUGCGGCUGAUCAUGAAAGUUUUGUUUCCACACAAUCAAUGCAAUAAUGGGCCAUUGCUAUGCUAUAAUACUUCUAUCUAAUAGCAGCAUCAUCUUGGAUCUUGGUGGUGCUUUAUGGGAUUGUGAACUUGAAUUGUUGAUUGUAUGACUGUCUUUUCCCUUCUGGAUUAACAUAUGUUUGUUUUACUUGAACGAUGCAGUUGUCCAGUAUGAAGCGCGCUAGAGAAACUUCGGAGGUCUAUAGAGUAAAAUCAAUUGGUUAAUUUCCCAUUACUGUUGUCUGCACGAUGUUUUAUGAUAUGUUGUUGAGAAUUGUUAAUCUCUGUGAAUUGUGAUAUAUUAUAUGGUGAUUUACAUUGCAUGUUUUGUGGUUACUUUAUGAAUUCAAGAAAUGAAAACGUGUGUUGCUCGAUCUGUUCAAGAUAGGAAUGAUGUGAUUGCUAGGUACCAUUAUGACAUUAUCAACUCAUGUAACACACCAAUUUUCGUAAAACCAGAAACCUUAUUACUAUCUUUGUAUUCAAAACUAAAUAAAUGUUUGUGCAUGAUGUAGCACUUUUGAAAUAAAUAAAAN
rnacentral:lncRNA from 1 species